CGGGGACACUCAGCCCGAAGCUUGUUGCGCGCCUCCUUAGGAAAGGGUCUGCGCAACCACUUGUGUAAGUAUAGUGCAAUAUACUCUGGUGGAGCCCACUCAGCGGCCCUGGGGUGGCACAUCGUGGUGGGGUCAAAUAAAGAGGAGCCGGUUGGGCGGCAGAGGUAAAAGAACUGCCACUCUCAGAAACAACAGAUGUUAUUCAAAAUGGAGUGCUCACCUCCAAAUAGACAAACACCCUGGGCACAUGGAAUAUAGAGGGCUCACCUCAAUCAAAGGCAGGAUUAAACCUGUAAAACACAAUUUGCAGUAUGUCAAAACUAAUGAAAUAUAGAAACCAAGAUGGCUGCCAGAAAACGGGGAAAAGACCCCUACACCAAAGACAUACAAAGAAAUAUAAAUGAAUAUAAGUAUAACAAUAAAAUAACUAUAAAUAAAAUAGAAAGAAAAUAAGCACCAAAAUAUGCAUAACAAGCAAAACUAUAUAAA